rnacentral:rRNA from 1 species
CCUACGGGAGGCAGCAGUAAGGAAUAUUGGUCAAUGGGCGGAAGCCUGAACCAGCCAUGCCGCGUGCAGGAAGACUGCCCUACGGGUUGUAAACUGCUUUUGUACCGGAAUAAACCUUGAUACGUGUAUCAAGCUGAAUGUACGGUAAGAAUAAGGAUCGGCUAACUCCGUGCCAGCAGCCGCGGUAAUACGGAGGAUCCAAGCGUUAUCCGGAUUUAUUGGGUUUAAAGGGUGCGUAGGUGGCUUUUUAAGUCAGGGGUGAAAGACGGUAGCUUAACUAUCGCAGUGCCUUUGAUACUGAAGAGCUUGAAUGAACUAGAGGUAGGCGGAAUGUGACAAGUAGCGGUGAAAUGCAUAGAUAUGUCACAGAACACCAAUUGCGAAGGCAGCUUACUAUGGUUUAAUUGACACUGAGGCACGAAAGCGUGGGGAUCAAACAGGAUUAGAUACCCUGGUAGUCCACGCCCUAAACGAUGAAUACUCGAUGUUGGCGAUAUACGGUCAGCGUCUAAGCGAAAGCGUUAAGUAUUCCACCUGGGGAGUACGCCCGCAAGGGUGAAACGUCAAAUGAAAUUGACGG